rnacentral:sRNA from 1 species
UGACUUCGUUCGCCUCAGGUCACCGGU